UGAAACAGAUCAAUGAGAAUGCAGGGUGUUU
rnacentral:piRNA from 1 species